CCUGGUUGAUCCUGCCAGUAGCAUAUGCUUGUCUCAAAGAUUAAGCCAUGCAAGUCUAAGUACACACGGCCGGUACAGUGAACUGCGAAUGGCUCAUUAAAUCAGUUAUGGUUCCUUUGAUCGCUCCAACGUUACUUGGAUAACUGUGGCAAUUCUAGAGCUAAUACAUGCCAACGAGCGCUGACCUUCGGGGAUGCGUGCAUUUAUCAGACCCAAAACCAUGCGGGGUUACCCCUCGGGGUGCCCGGCCGCUUGGUGACUCUAGAUAACCUCGAGCCGAUCGCUGGCCCCGUGGCGGCGACGUCUCAUUCGAAUGUCUGCCUAUCAACUUUCGAUGGUACUUUCUGUGCUACCAUGGUGACCACGGGUAACGGGGAAUCAGGGUUCGAUUCCGGAGAGGGAGCCUGAGAAACGGCUACCACAUCAGGAAGGCAGCAGGCGCGCAAAUUACCCACUCCGACUCGGGGAGGUAGUGACGAAAAAUAACAAUACAGGACUCUUUCGAGGCCUGUAAUUGGAAUGAGUACACUUUAAAUCCUUUAACGAGGAUCCAUUGGAGGGCAAAGUCUGGUGCCAGCAGCCGCGGUAAUUCCAGCUCCAAUAGCGUAUCUUAAAGUUGCUGCAGUUAAAAAGCUCGUAGUUGGAUCUCGGGAUGAGCUGACGGUCCGCCGCGAGGCGAGCUAACCGUCUGUCCCAGCCCCUGCCUCUCGGCGCCCCCUCGAUGCUCUUAGCUGAGUGUCCCGCGGGGUCCGAAGCGUUUACUUUGAAAAAAUUAGAGUGUUCAAGCAGGCCGGUCGCCUGAAUACGCAGCUAGGAAUAAUGGAAUAGGACUCCGGUUCUAUUUUGUGGGUUUUCUUUCUGAACUGGGGCAUGAUUAAGAGGGAGGCCGGGGGCAUUCGUAUUGUGCGCUAGAGGUGAAAUUCUUGGACCGGCGCAAGACGGACGAAAGCGAAAGCAUUUGCCAAGAAUGUUUUUCAUUAAUCAAGAACGAAAGUCGGAGGUUCGAAGACGAUCAGAUAUCCGUCGUAGUUCCGACAUAACGAUGCCAA
rnacentral:rRNA from 1 species